UGAAAAGCUGACCAACAGAGGCUCAAAGAUCAGCAAAAUUGGAAAAUACUGACAGAAGAUUCCCUCCUGCCUGGACCAGAGCAACCCUGGCACAGAGCAACAGAGGAGCACAGAAGCAAUGCAAGACCCUCUGGCAGGCCUGUCCCUUCUGCCCAGCACAGCAGAGGAGCCCAGCCAUGUAGGCACCAAUACAACAGUGCCUGUGCCCACCCGCCAUGAACAAGAGAAAGAGGGCCUCUCUGAGGCUCCUAGAUGAAAAUUGAAACCCACUGGAAAAGUGAAGAAAAUCUCUGCCAUAAGGGCAUACCACAUGACCAUAGAUGUGACCUGUGGUGCUUCCUUCCAGCGUUGGCGGUCUAGACUGAGAGAAAUACAGUUGGCCAAAGGACAGGCAG